AGCAGCCACAGGAGACAACUGUUGAGACUGGUUUUGCGAGAAAACAAUAGCAUUAUCCCGAGACCAUGCAAAGAUUUGUUUUGGAAAAUGAUCAAAGUGUUGCAUUUGUUUUACAUGAAGGAUGAUGGAGAUGGAUUCACCUUAGAUGAGAUGAUUAAUGCUGCAAAUGCAGUAGUUGCUAAACCCAUCUCUUUUCAUGAACUAGAGAAUCUAUGGAUGGAAAAUUGAGUGCCGCUGCAAUAUCUGUGAUUCUCUAGUUCAUGAAAAGAGAUGGGUUUAGCAACUACUGCAUUUGCAGCAUUAAUCAUCUCAUCGGGUGAAUGAAACUAGUUUUUGUACAGGAAAGUAACUGGUGAAGCUAGUCAUGUUAGAAAGG
rnacentral:misc_RNA from 1 species